rnacentral:tRNA from 1 species
CAAUUAUAAAGAUAUUUCUUUUUUUAGAAAUC